rnacentral:rRNA from 1 species
UACGUAGGGACCAAGCGUUGUUCGGAUUUACUGGGCGUAAAGGGCGCGUAGGCGGCGUGGUAAGUCACUUGUGAAAUCUCUGAGCUUAACUCAGAACGGCCAAGUGAUACUGCUGUGCUAGAGUGCAGAAGGGGCAAUCGGAAUUCUUGAUGUAGCGGUGAAAUGCGUAGAUAUCAAGAGGAACACCUGUGGCGAAAGCGGCUCACUGGACCACAACUGACGCUGAUGCGCGAAAGCUAGGGGAGCAAACAGG